rnacentral:rRNA from 1 species
UGGGGAAUAUUGCACAAUGGGCGAAAGCCUGAUGCAGCAACGCCGCGUGAGGAACGACGGCCUUCGGGUUGUAAACCUCUUUUAGCAAGGAAGAAGCGAAAGUGACGGUACUUGCAGAAAAAGCGCCGGCUAACUACGUGCCAGCAGCCGCGGUAAUACGUAGGGCGCAAGCGUUAUCCGGAAUUAUUGGGCGUAAAGAGCUCGUAGGCGGUUUGUCGCGUCUGCUGUGAAAAACCCGAGGCUCAACCUCGGGCCUGCAGUGGGUACGGGCAGACUAGAGUGCGGUAGGGGAGAUUGGAACUCCUGGUGUAGCGGUGGAAUGCGCAGAUAUCAGGAAGAACACCGAUGGCGAAGGCAGAUCUCUGGGCCGUAACUGACGCUGAGGAGCGAAACGGGUGGGGAGCAAACAGGCUUAGAUACCCUGUAGUCACCCCGUAAACGUUGGAACUAGUUGUGGGGUCCAUUCCACGGAUUCCGUGACGCAGCUAACGCAUUAAGUUCCCCGCCUGGGGAGUACGGCCGCAAGGCUAAAACU